ensembl:snRNA U6 U6 spliceosomal RNA
GUGCUCACUUCAGCAACACAUAUAUUAAAAUCGGAAUGAUACAGAGAAGAUUAGCAUGGCCCCUGCCCAAGGUUGACAUGCAAAUUCAUGAAUCGAUCCAUAUUUUU